UACGAAGGGGGCUAGCGUUGUUCGGAAUCACUGGGCGUAAAGCGCUUGUAGGCGGACUGUUAAGUCGGGGGUGAAAUCCCGAGGCUCAACCUCGGAAUUGCCUUCGAUACUGGCAGUCUUGGAGUCCGGGAGAGGUGAGUGGAACUCCUAGUGUAGAGGUGAAAUUCGUAGAUAUUAGGAAGAACACCAGUGGCGAAGGCGGCUCACUGGCCCGGUACUGACGCUGAUAAGCGAAAGCGUGGGGAGCAAACAGGAUUAGAAACCCCCGUAGUCC
rnacentral:rRNA from 1 species